rnacentral:rRNA from 1 species
UCCAUCGGUAGCUUGCUAUCAAUGGUGAGAGUGGCGCACGGGUGCGUAACGCGUGAGCAACCUGCCUCCAUCAGGGGGAUAGCCUCUCGAAAGAGAGAUUAACACCGCAUAACAUAUUUUACCGGCAUCGGACGAAUAUUAAAUAUUUAUAGGAUGGAGAUGGGCUCGCGUGACAUUAGCUUGUUGGUGGGGUAACGGCCCACCAAGGCGACGAUGUCUAGGGGCUCUGAGAGGAGAAUCCCCCACACUGGUACUGAGACACGGACCAGACUCCUACGGGAGGCAGCAGUAAGGAAUAUUGGUCAAUGGGCGGAAGCCUGAACCAGCCAUGCCGCGUGCAGGAUGACUGCCCUAUGGGUUGUAAACUGCUUUUGUCCGGGAAUAAACCUCCUUACGAGUAGGGAGCUGAAUGUACCGGAAGAAUAAGGAUCGGCUAACUCCGUGCCAGCAGCCGCGGUAAUACGGAGGAUCCGAGCGUUAUCCGGAUUUAUUGGGUUUAAAGGGUGCGUAGGCGGCCUGUUAAGUCAGGGGUGAAAUACGGUGGCUCAACCAUCGCAGUGCCUUUGAUACUGACGGGCUUGAAU